UAAAUAUAAUUUUAUUUAAGUAAUGUAAUUACUUUCUUUUUAUGCAUAUCUACGUGUGAUUACAAUGCAUACUGUGUUAGAAGCAGAAACCAUAGGUUUAAAUCUUAUACCUGGAAAAAAACUGUCCAACCUGUCGAAGUAAAGUUAUGACAUGUUUAUCAAAAAGUAUUAGUGAAAAUAAAAAUGAUAAAGAUUUUGAUAUUGUUAAUGAAAGAUCCAUUCAAAAUAAAAAAGAAAGUGUAGAUACACACUUUGCAUCUGCCAGAGUAUCUCAAAUUAAGAUCAAAGGAUUGCACAAGUCAGGUAAAAUCAGAGAAGGUAAACGAAAAUUGACAGCAUUAACAACCUCCAUUAAAAAAAAGGUAGCCAUUUCCCUUAAUAUAUCAGAAGAAAGUUUUAAUAAUGAGUAUAUGGAAAAAGCAAACUUGUUUGAUAACAUGAUGGUAUUGUUAACUAACAAAAUUGCAGAGUCUACAUCAACAUCAAAAAAAGUACAACUUGUGACACUUGCUCCAACAGACUGGUCAAUAAAAAAGGUAUCUGAAACAUUGCAUGUAACAAACUAUGUAGCUCGAAAUGCACAUAAGUAAACAUUAGAAAAAGGUAUUUUAACCAUGCCUAAUCCUAAAUUAGGAAAAGCUCUUCCUGUGUAACAGUUCAACUGGUCAAGACCUUUUACAAAGGCGAUGAACAUAGCCGUAUAAUGCCUGGUAAAAAGGACUAUGUAAGCAUAAAGAAAAAUGUCCACAUGCAAAAACGUUUGCUCUUGUAUAAUUUAAAGGAGUUGUUUGUUGCCUUUAAAACCAAGAACCCAGAAAUAAAAAUAGGAUUUUCAAGGUUUUGCACCUUGCGACCUAAAUGGUGUAUUACUGUUGGUGCCUCACGAACACAUUCUGUAUGCGUCUGUGCUAUUCAUCAGAGUUUGAAACUGCUUUUACAUCCACUUGGUGUGACAUACAAAGAAUUGUUACCUUAUAUUGUCUGUGAUAUAACUAAUAAAGACUGUAUGAUGAGAAAAUGUGAAAAACGCUCAGCAACUAUAAAUGCAUUGGUUGAAAAACUUUAUGAUAUACUUUGAGAAUUUGAAGAUGAUGAUGAGAUUGAAUUUGAUCAAUGGAAAACAACAAAUAGGUCAAACUUGACACAUAAUAAAGAGCCAGUGUUUGAAUACAUUGAACUAGUAUGUAGAAAACUGGAAAAACUUGCACCACAUUGGUAUUUAGCAAAGAGUCAAGCGUUAUACCUGAGAUCAAGAAAGGAAGAUAUGAAUGAGGUAACAGCAUUAUUUCUGGGUGAUUUUUCAGAAAACUAUAAAUUUGUAGUUCAGGAUGAAGUGCAAAGUUUUCAUUGGACAAAUUUACAAUGUUCACUUCAUCCAGUGAUUAUUUAUUUCAAAAAAGAAGGCAUUCUCAAGCACAAAUCCUAUUGUAUUGAAGGCAUAAAUUUCAUAUAUAUUUCAUCAGAAGAUUUAACUUUGAUGAGAACCGCUCUUAAAGAACGAUUGGAUACUGCUAAUACAAUACCUGGAACACGUAGUUACCAUCAGUUUGUAACACUUGGCCAUUAAAAGGUAGAUACUAAGCUAUGCAGUGUUGAUGAAGAAUUUGCUUUAAUUCAUGACUUUGGAAAUAUCCAGAUAACAACUGUAAACCUAGUACCAGGUUGCCUGUGUUUCCUAUGAGCAAAAGUGGUGGAUAGGAGUCAUUGAAGAUAUUAAUUUAGAAGAAAAAGAUGUGCUUGUAAAAUUUAUGUGUCCUAAU